rnacentral:tRNA from 1 species
GGGCCCGUAGCCUAGCAUGGAGCUCUGGCUUCCGCGUGCACUGGUCGUCAAUUGAUCAGCAUACAUCAGGGCAUCGUGUCUUGCUUUCAAGAUCGUGCAAGCCUUCGGAGCCGGGGGUCGUGGGUUCAAAUCCCACCGGGCCCG